GGGAACGUAUUCACCGCAGCGUUGCUGAUCUGCGAUUACUAGCGACUCCGACUUCACGGGGUCGAGUUGCAGACCCCGAUCCGAACUGAGACCGGCUUUACCAAGGAUUCGCUCCACCUCACGGCAUCGCAGCCCUUUGUACCGGCCAUUGUAGCAUGUGUGAAGCCCUGGACAUAAGGGGCAUGAUGACUUGACGUCAUCCCCACCUUCCUCCGAGUUGACCCCGGCAGUCUCUCACGAGUCCCCACCAUAACGUGCUGGCAACAUGAGACAAGGGUUGCGCUCGUUGCGGGACUUAACCCAACAUCUCACGACACGAGCUGACGACAGCCAUGCACCACCUGCACACAGGCCACAAGGGAACGCCCAUCUCUAGACGCGUCCUGUGCAUGUCAAACCC
rnacentral:rRNA from 1 species